GACGAACGCUGGCGGCGUGCCUAAUACAUGCAAGUCGAGCGAGUGGCGGACGGGUGAGUAAUGUCUGGGAAACUGCCUGAUGGAGGGGGAUAACUACUGGAAACGGUAGCUAAUACCGCAUACCAUCAGAUGUGCCCAUAUGGGAUUAGCUUGUUGGUGGGGUAACGGCUCACCAAGGCGACGAUCCCUAGCUGGUCUGAGAGGAUGACCAGCCACACUGGAACUGAGACACGGUCCAGACUCCGACGGGAGGCAGCAGUGGGGAAUAUUGCACAAUGGGCGCAAGCCUGAUGCAGCCAUGCCGCGUGUAUGAAGAAGGCCUUCGGGUUGUAAAGUACUUUCAGCGGGGAGGCGUUACCCGCAGAAGAAGCACCGGCUAACUCCGUGCCAGCAGCCGCGGUAAUAC
rnacentral:rRNA from 1 species